GGUUGGAUAUGUUUUUAUAGGGUAAUUUGGAUUUUGAUGCUACCGCUCUAUACUGAAGACUAUUUGGAUUUUAAUGUAUCCAAGCAAUACUCCUCGCUGCCCUCCUCUCAGAAGCAGAUGGUGGUGAUGCGAUCGUUGGUGCGAUAGCUUGGCUGUACUGGCAAUUGGCAAACGAGGCCAUGGGUACCAACAUGGAAGGUAUCUCAGACCACCACGAGCGUUCUAUUUUGUUCAGGUGAUGCCCGCCGGGGAGGUUUCUCUUUGACACAGAUUGGUGACACGUGAUGCGUCCAUGUGUUAGGAUAUGUAAUUGAUGUUGCCACAAAGGGUUCCCAAAUUUUCUCAAAGAUGAUUGUUUCAUAUAUAUUUUAAUGUUGAAUGGGCACCAAUUUUACUUCAUGGGGCUCCUCGACUCAUGGUUUUGUCUAUCUCUGCUAACCCAGUGUCAUGUUUAUGGGUUGCUGCUCGUGUUGUUGCUGCUGCUCAUGUUCAUCCCGCCCUGCAUUCAUUCAAUGGAGGAGCACAUUUGAUGAACGAGGUCAACAAGCCAAGGACCAGGCCAAGGAAGGCAGUGUGAAAGGAGGUUUAACCAGGCAUUAAUUGGUCUCUAAAUUGGUAAAGGCGAUUGACUUGCAGCUAUUUCAUUUUUUAGCAACAUGGCGAGGAAGGGAUUAAUGGCGCUACAUCACUCCAACCUUUAUCCACCAGCGUUGGAUGGACCAAUUUUCCUCCCUCUACUAGCCCAUGGUGCUUGAUCCAUUUUUAUAUGGGUAGGAGGACAUAGCGGAAUUAAUGGAACGAAGAAAAAUGCUGCCGGAGAUGCAAGAUUAAUACAACAUGUUAUUUGGGUACUGGUUCUUUUUUAGUUACAUAUGCAAAAGGAUUGAGAAAAAGGCUUUGAUGUUGAUGUUGCUGUUGUGCAAAAGGAUUGGCACGACCUUGAUAUUGACAAUUGUCAAAGGUGCUGCUUUGUUGGGUAGGUAGCCUUGGUAGUUAAAAUAUUUAUUUACUUUGCUUAUAAAAUUCAAAAUGUGCAUCUAUUUUCCACUUCCAAAAUCCAUAGUCAAUGGCAAAAUGUGGUUAGACAGUUUGCACAACAUAAGAUUAGAAAUGAAAUCUAGGAUACUUUUAUAUUGUACUGUGGUGUAUAUGUAGUGCACGACUUUUGAUAUUAUUCAGUGGAUCCCUGUUGUGGUUUUUAUC